rnacentral:rRNA from 1 species
AGCCACGCACCACGGGGUAAGAGCUGAACGCAUCUAAGCUCGAAACCCACCUGGAAAAGAGGAGCCACUGAGGCCACUCGUAGAAGACGAGAUCGAUAGACUCGGGGUGUACGCGCCAAGGCAACGAGGCGUUGAGCCCGCGAGCACUAA